rnacentral:rRNA from 2 species
ACCUCGGAUCAGGUAGGGAUACCCGCUGAACUUAAGCAUAUCAAUAAGCGGAGGAAAAGAAACCAACAGGGAUUACCUCAGUAACGGCGAGUGAAGCGGUAACAGCUCAAAUUUGAAAGCUGGCUCUUUUAGGGUCCGCGUUGUAAUUUGUAGAAGAUGCUUCGGGUGUGGCCCCGGUCUAAGUUCCUUGGAACAGGACGUCAUAGAGGGUGAGAAUCCCGUAUGUGACUGGGUGCUUUCGCUCAUGUGAAGCUCUUUCGACGAGUCGAGUUGUUUGGGAAUGCAGCUCAAAAUGGGUGGUAAAUUUCAUCUAAAGCUAAAUAUUGGCCAGAGACCGAUAGCGCACAAGUAGAGUGAUCGAAAGAUGAAAAGCACUUUGGAAAGAGAGUUAAACAGUACGUGAAAUUGUUGAAAGGGAAGCGCUUGCAACCAGACUUGCGCGCUGAUGAUCAUCCGGGCUUCUGCCCGGUGCACUCGUCUGCGCUCAGGCCAGCAUCGGUUUCGGUGGUGGGAUAAAGGCCUUGGGAAUGUGGCUCCUCUCGGGGAGUGUUAUAGCCCUCGGUGCAAUGCCGCCAACCGGGAC